GAUGAACGCUGGCGGCGUGCCUAAUACAUGCAAGUCGAACGCUGGAAAUCUAGCUUGCUAGAUUGAAGGAGUGGCGAACGGGUGAGUAAUACAUAAGCAACCUACCCACGAAGACUGGGAUAAUCUCUGGAAACGGGGACUAAUACCGGAUAGGUAAUCGGAAGGCAUCUUCUGAUUAUUAAAGGUUAAAAACACUGGUGGAUGGGCUUAUGGCGCAUUAGUUAGUUGGUGAGGUAACGGCCCACCAAGACGAUGAUGCGUAGCCGGCCUGAGAGGGUGAACGGCCACAUUGGGACUGAGACACGGCCCAGACUCCUACGGGAGGCAGCAGUAGGGAAUUUUCGGCAAUGGGGGAAACCCUGACCGAGCAACGCCGCGUGAGUGAUGACGGCCUUCGGGUUGUAAAGCUCUGUUGUAAGGGAAGAACGGUAGACAGAGAAUAUCUAAAUGACGGUACCUUACCAGAAAGCCACGGCUAACUACGUG
rnacentral:rRNA from 1 species